GCCUGUUUAGCAUAGUGGUUAUUGUAUUCGUCUCGUAAGCGAAAGGUCGCGGGUUCAAAUCCCGCAGUGGGCU
rfam:Stentor coeruleus isolate WM001 SteCoe_contig_109, whole genome shotgun sequence.